rnacentral:rRNA from 1 species
CCUACGGGAGGCAGCAGUGAGGAAUAUUGGUCAAUGGGCGGAAGCCUGAACCAGCCAAGUCGCGUGAGGGAUUAAGGCCCUAUGGGUCGUAAACCUCUUUUGUCAGGGAGCAAUGGCGUCCACGUGUGGGCGUAUGGAGAGUACCUGAAGAAAAAGCAUCGGCUAACUCCGUGCCAGCAGCCGCGGUAAUACGGAGGAUGCGAGCGUUAUCCGGAUUUAUUGGGUUUAAAGGGUGCGUAGGCGGGACCUUAAGUCAGCGGUAAAAUUGCGGUGCUCAACGCCGUAGAGCCGUUGAAACUGGGGUUCUUGAGUGAGCGAGAAGUAUGCGGAAUGCGUGGUGUAGCGGUGAAAUGCAUAGAUAUCACGCAGAACCCCGAUUGCGAAGGCAGCAUACCGGCGCUCAACUGACGCUGAGGCACGAAAGUGCGGGUAUCGAACAGGAUUAGAUACCCUUGUAGUC